rnacentral:rRNA from 2 species
AAAUUGAAGAGUUUGAUCAUGGCUCAGAUUGAACGCUGGCGGCAGGCCUAACACAUGCAAGUCGAACGGUAACAGGAAGCAGCUUGCUGCUUCGCUGACGAGUGGCGGACGGGUGAGUAAUGUCUGGGAAACUGCCUGAUGGAGGGGGAUAACUACUGGAAACGGUGGCUAAUACCGCAUAACGUCGCAAGACCAAAGAGGGGGACCUUCGGGCCUCUUGCCAUCAGAUGUGCCCAGAUGGGAUUAGCUAGUUGGUGAGGUAACGGCUCACCAAGGCGACGAUCCCUAGCUGGUCUGAGAGGAUGACCAGCCACACUGGAACUGAGACACGGUCCAGACUCCUACGGGAGGCAGCAGUGGGGAAUAUUGCACAAUGGGCGCAAGCCUGAUGC